GUUAAGCUGCUCAUGUUCAUAUGAAAGGUGGUAACAAAACUACCAAAAGAGCCAAGAAGAGACUGGAGGAUCAAAUCCACCUGUAGUAUAGCAUCCAUAGUAAAAUCCGAACUCUCAAGGUACUCCAUCACCCUUAUCAUCUUACGGAUGUGACUGCCUAUAUCAGUUCCUUCUUACAUUUUCAUCUACUGCUUAGAUAUCAGCAUUUUGCUUGCCCAACAAACAAAUCUUUUAUAUGGAGAAGCAUUUUUUAAGUUGAUUCCAUAUUUUCACGUUGCCUAUGGAUCUCAUCCUCAAUAGAAGGUAACGUAUAGUACCUAACUUGAAAAUCAUCGUCCUUCCAUUUCCUAAAAGUUUUAUGCUCUUAUGGAGUAGGCCUUUCAAGUAAGGGACUAGGAAC
rnacentral:lncRNA from 1 species